UCACGAACCACACGGCGUUGCGGUACCAGGACAUGGCGGUGCUGCCGCUGCCGCCGUCGCCACAGCCGGGCUGGCCCCGCCUCUGCCCUUACAUAAGGCGCCCGGCCCGGCCCUGCCCGCCCGCCGUUAGCAUCUGUGGGACUUCCAUGUACUCAAGCAAUGAACAGGAACCUCAAGAAGCAUAAGCCAAGAAGCAACAAUUUCAAAUUGCAGUCCUGAAGUAACAAUCUUUUCUAUAUUAUAUGGAGAACAUACAUUGGUCUUCAUUGUUAUGCAAAGUCCCUAUCAACCAGAAUCUGGGGAAGAUGAAUAAUCAGAGGUGCCCCUGCUCCACACCUGCAUGAUUCCAGCCUGCUGAAGGAGGCAGUAGUGAAAGUGUGGAAGGUCUGCUCAGAUCUCUCUGGAUACACAAUUGAUGGCUCCAACAAUUUUGGAGGUGUUGAUGUUCACGCUUCCAUGUGCCAUAGCUUAUGGAUGUACACAAGUACAGCAUGGUACUGAAACACUAGCACUGUGAUUUGGCAGCGCUUUCCCAAGAUGUCAAUGAAGGCACCGGGUUCUCAUCCCUAAAGAAUUAAGCCUCCAAGGUGGACUGCAGAGAAUCAGUCAGCCUUAGCCUCCUGGGAAUGGGACAUAGGCCUCAGGCUUACCAUUGUGUGGCUGAAGUUUGAUAAAUCCUUGCACAUCUGCUGAGCUGCUGUAACUGUGCUCACACAUACACACAGAAAACACGAGGCAAUGUGACUUCACUUACAGCUCUUCUCCUCCGGGCUGAGCUAAAAUCACCCCGUAUUUGCUCAGAUAGGAGCGCACACUUCAUCACUUGCUGCAAGGUCACUGGACGCACAGCAACAUGGGACUCAAUUCAGACUUAAAAUUCAGAGUAUGAGCCCUUAAUUCUAUGUCAUCAAGAAUGAUUCUAGCAGCAUUUUGGAAGAAGAGGGAAGUUUGUACUGGAAUUCUAUGGGUGAA